rnacentral:piRNA from 1 species
UUUAAACCAGUCUGUCUAACUCCAACCU